AGCAGCCGCGGUAAUUCCAGCUCCAAUAGCGUAUAUUAAAGUUGUUGCAGUUAAAAAGCUCGUAGUUGAAUUUUAGUCCUGACCGGACGGUCCGUCUCUGGCGAGUACUGUUCUGCUGUCGGGUCUAUCCUUCUGGUGAGCCGGUAUGCCCUUUAUUGGGUGUGUCGGGGAACCAGGACCAUUACCUUGAAAAAAUUAGAGUGUUUAAAGCGGGCUUUUGCUUGAAUAGAUUAGCAUGGAAUAAUAGAAUAGGACGUUGGUUCUAUUUUGUUGGUCUAGGACCACCGUAAUGAUUAAUAGGGAUAGUUGGGGGCAUUAGUAUUCAAUUGUCAGAGGUGAAAUUCUUGGAUUUAUUGAAGACUAACUACCGCGAAAGCAUUUGCCAAGGAUGUUUUCAUUAAUCAAGAACGAAAGUUAGGGGAUCGAAGACGAUCAGAUACCGUCGUAGUCUUAACCAUAAACUAUGCCGACUAGGAAUCGGGCGACGUUAUUUCAUGACUCGCUCGGCGUCCUUAUGGGA
rnacentral:rRNA from 1 species